UACGAAGGGGGCUAGCGUUGCUCGGAAUGACUGGGCGUAAAGGGCGCGUAGGCGGAUUGGUCAGUCAGACGUGAAAUUCCUGGGCUUAACCUGGGGGCUGCGUUUGAGACGGCUGAUCUAGAGUGGGGAAGAGGGUCGUGGAAUUCCCAGUGUAGAGGUGAAAUUCGUAGAUAUUGGGAAGAACACCGGUGGCGAAGGCGGCGACCUGGUCCUUUACUGACGCUGAGGCGCGAAAGCGUGGGGAGCAAACAGG
rnacentral:rRNA from 2 species